rnacentral:rRNA from 1 species
UACGUAGGGUGCAAGCGUUGUCCGGAAUUAUUGGGCGUAAAGAGCUCGUAGGCGGUUUGUUGCGUCGGCUGUGAAAUCCCGAGGCUCAACCUCGGGUCUGCAGUCGAUACGAGCAAACUAGAGUGUUGCAGGGGAGACUGGAAUUCUGGUGAUAGCGGUGAAAUGCGCAGAUAUCAGGAGGAACACCGGUGGCGAAGGCGGGUCUCUGGG